AACGAACGCUGGCGGCAGGCUUAACACAUGCAAGUCGAACGCGAAAUCACCUUCGGGUGGUGGAGAGUGGCAGACGGGUGAGUAACGCGUGGGAACCUACCUAGCUGUACGGAAUAACUCAGGGACACUUGGGAUAAUACCGUAUGAGCCCGAAAGGGGAAAGAUUCAUCGCCACUAGAUGGGCCCGCGUCGGAUUAGCUUGUUGGUGAGGUAACGGCUCACCAAGGCGACGAUCCGUAGCUGGUCUGAGAGGAUGAUCAGCCACACUGGGACUGGGACACGGCCCAGACUCCUACGGGAGGCAGCAGUGGGGAAUAUUGGGCAAUGGGCGCAAGCCUGAUCCAGCCAUGCCGCGUGAGUGAUGAAGGCCCUAGGGUUGUAAAGCUCUUUCGGCGGGGACGAUAAUGACGGUACCCGCAGAAGAAGCCCCGGCUAACUUCGUGCCAGCCGCCGCGGUAA
rnacentral:rRNA from 1 species